AUUGAACGCUGGCGGCAUGCUUUACACAUGCAAGUCGAACGGCAGCACGGACUUCGGUCUGGUGGCGAGUGGCGAACGGGUGAGUAAUACAUCGGAACGUGCCCAGUUGUGGGGGAUAACUACUCGAAAGAGUAGCUAAUACCGCAUGAGAACUGAGGUUGAAAGCAGUGGAUCGUAAGACCUUGCGCAACUGGAGCGGCCGAUGGCAGAUUAGGUAGUUGGUGGGAUAGAAGCUUACCAAGCCGACGAUCUGUAGCUGGUCUGAGAGGACGACCAGCCACACUGGGACUGAGACACGGCCCAGACUCCUACGGGAGGCAGCAGUGGGGAAUUUUGGACAAUGGGCGAAAGCCUGAUCCAGCAAUGCCGCGUGCAGGAUGAAGGCCUUCGGGUUGUAAACUGCUUUUGUACGGAACGAAAAGCUUCGGGCUAAUACCCUGGAGUCAUGACGGUACCGUAAGAAUAAGCACCGGCUAACUACGUGCCAGCCGCCGCGGUAAUAC
rnacentral:rRNA from 1 species